GCGGAGGUGGUGGAGCGAGGGCCGGUGCGUGCAAUUACUAACCCUAAACCACUCUGUCAUCAGAGAUGUUUAGUUCGUAAGGGGGUGGUUUACCCCGGUGUUUUCCCCCGCCGGAAAAACAAGAAACACCGAUGUCCGGCAUGCAUCGGUCCUCAGUGGCUGAAAAUUAGCUCCAGAGAGGCUUGCAGGGAAUGACUGCCGGCGUGUAAGAAAACAUGCCUCGUGGUUGUUGAUUUGUCUCCUCGCCUCUCAGCCACCUCCAUUUU
rnacentral:telomerase_RNA from 1 species